GGCUCAAUGGUCUAAUAUUAUGAUUCUCGCUUCAGGUGCGAGAGGUCCCGGGUUCAAUUCCCGGUGUGUAGCUA